UCCUGAAGACAUCCAUUGUGAUCAGCUGAUGGUGUAUUCUUCUACAAAUACAUUGUGCAUGUGUGAGCCAAAAUAUGUGUGGGAGAUUUGUUUAAGGUCACCCCCCCCACUGUGCUUUUUGCAAAAGUGCAGUAACAUGGAUUGAUGGAUUGCUGCGCACCUGGGUUUUCUUUUCACUUAACCUCGUAUUUGGAGAUUAGUCCUGGAUCAGC
rnacentral:lncRNA from 1 species